rnacentral:misc_RNA from 1 species
GAUGAAGAACGUAGCGAAAUGCGAUAAGUAGUGUGAAUUGCAGAAUUCAGUGAAUCAUCGAAUCUUUGAACGCACAUUGCGCCUCCUGGUAUUCCGGGAGGCAUGCCUGUUCGAGCGUCAUUAAAAUCACUCAAGCUUAGGUUUACCUAUUGCUUGGUCUUGGAGAUGGAAGCCAAUUUAUUGGAAUCCUCUUCGAAAUUCAAUGGCGAAGACCCUUGCUCUCCCAAGUGUAGUAAUAACUUAUGUCACUGAAGGAAGCGAGAAAUCUUCUGCCGUAACCCCCAUAUUUUCUAUGAUUGACCUCGGAUCAGGUAGGGAUACUCGCUGAACUUAAGCAUAUCAAUAAGCGGAGGA